GACGAACGCUGGCGGCGUGCUUAACACAUGCAAGUCGAACGGAAAGGCCCUGCUUUUGUGGGGUGCUCGAGUGGCGAAGGGGUGAGUAACACGUGAGUAACCUGCCCUUGACUUUGGGAUAACUUCAGGAAACUGGGGCUAAUACCGGAUAGGAGCUCUUGCUGCAUGGUGGGGGUUGGAAAGAGACGGCGGUGGGGGAUGGACUCGCGGCUUAUCAGCUUGUUGGGGGGGUAGUGGCUUACCAAGGUUUUGACGGGUAGCCGGCCUGGGAGGGUGACCGGCCACCUUGGGACUGCGAUACGGCCCAGACUCCUACGGGAGGCAGCAGUGGGGAAUAUUGCGCAAUGGGCGGAAGCCUGAUGCAGCAACGCCGCGUGCGGGAUGACGGCCUUCGGGUUGUAAACCGCUUUCGCCUGUGACGAAGCGUGAGUGACGGUAAUGGGUAAAGAAGCACCGGCUAACUACGUG
rnacentral:rRNA from 1 species